rnacentral:rRNA from 1 species
AUACGUAGGGUGCGAGCGUUGUUCGGAAUUACUGGGCGUAAAGAGCUCGUAGGCGGUUUGUCGCGUCGUAUGUGAAAUUCCGGGGCUUAACUCGGGGCGUGCAGGCGAUACGGGCAUAACUUGAGUACUGUAGGGGAGACUGGAAUUCUUGGUGUAGCGGUGAACUGCGCAGAUAUCAGGAGGAACACCGGUGGCGAAGGGGGGUCCCUGGGCAGAAACUGACGCUGAUGAACGAAAGCGUGGGGAGCGAACAGGAUUAGAUACCCUGGUAGUCCAUGCCGUAAACGGUGGGCGCUAGGUGUAGGGGUCUUCCACGACUUCUGUGCCGUAGCUAACGCAUUAAGCGCCCCGCCUGGGGAGUACGGCCGCAAGGCUAAAACUUAAAGGAAUUGACGGGG